UGCGUUUAUAAAAAAAAAGUAUCGGUUUCGGCUGUUGUGGAAAAAAUAUUAUUGUAGUUCCACUUUAAAUUCUCUAUCACAGUCAGUAGGUAUAAUCUUUCAGUUUCAUAACAUCCUAAACAUGUACAACAAUCCAACUAAAUGCCACAAUCGUCAGUACAAACUGAAAGCAUGUUCAUGCCCAAAUAAGGGAGCAGAUGCGAAACAGUGGUAUAAUCCGUUGCAAGUUAGCUAUUCCUGGAGAGAUGAGUCGGUAUCUCUAGCACUGUUGGUAGCACCACGCAACAAACACCAUCAAUUCUUAUUGUUAGUUUGUGAACAUAGUGCAGUUGUAAAGGUGACAUCAGAUUUUGGGUUCAUUUCAGAACUAAGGUACAUAAGCAAGAAACCGUGCCAACAAAGGCAACUGAAUAUAAUCAGAAUCAGAACCCACUAGUAUGGUCUCUAACUCUAUACAGAACAAUGUCGGGUCAAGAAAUAACAUGAAAGAGACCACCCUCCAACCACAGGUUGUAAGAUGGAAACAGCAUGACACGUGCGUAAUUAAACAAUAGUACAGUGCUGAAAGUUGCCUCGGUUUGUCUCAGACAGCACGAGCGUCCGGGCAUGGCACUGGAUCUGCCCCACUACAUAUUUGUUGACCGAGUGACAGGCAAAGGGCAUCGGGUUUCCGAUCUUACUAUGGUCUCAAGGUGAGGUGGUGGUCUAGUGCGUCCUAUAUUAUGUAUAUACUCUAAUGAUAUAAUUUAAGAUCCCACUCAUCGACUUAUCCAC
rnacentral:misc_RNA from 1 species